rnacentral:rRNA from 1 species
GGCGCACGGGUGAGUAACGCGUGGGAACCUACCUAUUGGUUCGGAACAACACCGGGAAAACUGGUGCUAAUACCGAAUAAGCCCGAGAGGGGAAAGAUUUAUCGCCAAUAGAUGGGCCCGCGUUAGAUUAGCUAGUUGGUGAGGUAAUGGCUCACCAAGGCGACGAUCUAUAGCUGGUCUGAGAGGAUGAUCAGCCACACUGGGACUGAGACACGGCCCAGACUCCUACGGGAGGCAGCAGUGGGGAAUAUUGGACAAUGGGGGCAACCCUGAUCCAGCCAUGCCGCGUGAAUGAUGAAGGCCUUCGGGUUGUAAAGUUCUUUUGGCGGGGACGAUGAUGACGGUACCCGCAGAAUAAGCUCCGGCUAACUUCGUGCCAGCAGCCGCGGUAAUACGAAGGGAGCUAGCGUUGUUCGGAAUUACUGGGCGU